rnacentral:rRNA from 1 species
AAUUUUAUAACAAUGGCUUUAGUGGCGGACUGGUGAGUAACGCGUAAGGAACCUGCCUUUCAGAGGGGGACAACAGUUGGAAACGACUGCUAAUACCGCAUGACACAUAGGUGUCGAAUGGCACUUAUGUCAAAGAUUUAUCGCUGAAAGAUGGCCUCGCGUCUGAUUAGCUAGUUGGUGAGGUAACGGCCCACCAAGGCGACGAUCAGUAGCCGGACUGAGAGGAUGAACGGCCACACUGGAACUGAGACACGGUCCAGACUCC